rnacentral:rRNA from 1 species
UACAGAGGUCUCAACCGUUGUUCGGAUUCAUUGGGCGUAAAGGGUGCGUAGGCGGUCGUGCAAGUCGGAUGUGAAAUCUCAGGGCUCAACCCUGAAACUGCAUUCGAUACUGCCGUGCUUGAGGACUGGAGAGGAGACUGGAAUUUACGGUGUAGCGGUGAAAUGCGUAGAUAUCGUAAGGAAGACCAGUGGCGAAGGCGGGUCUCUGGACAGGUUCCUGACGCUGAGGCACGAAGGCCAGGGGAGCAAACGGG